rnacentral:misc_RNA from 1 species
AACUUUUGGCAAUGGAUCUCUAGGCUCUCACAACGAUGAAGAACGCAGCGAAAUGCGAUAAGUAAUGUGAAUUGCAGAAUUCCGUGAAUCAUUAAAUCUUUGAACGCACAUUGCACUCGUUGGUAUUCCGACGAGUAUGUCUGUUUGAGAAUCAGUUUAAUUUAUCAAAAAUUAGUUUUUUCUUUUCACGAAGGAAAGAUGAAUUUUUUGGAUUUGGAACUCAUUGACUUUUUUAAAGUUGAUAGAUCUUUAAAAUUAUUUGUUUGCUGCAGCUAAUAUAAAGGGAGUUUGACCAUUUUGGCUGACUGAUGCAGGAUUUUCACAAGAGUCUUAAAAAACCCUUGUUAAACUCGAUCUCAAAUCAAGUAAGACUACCCGCUGAACUUAAGCAUAUCAAUAAGCGGAGGCU